rnacentral:lncRNA from 10 species
GGCAGUAUCAGCCGCGCCGCAGUCGGAGGAAAUAGACGCGGGGCCUGAGGCUCCUGGACUUGAGAAAGGAUUCAAGACAGCCGAUGAUGAAAACACCCAUGCUUGCAAGUGAAGGUUCUGCCUGUCACUUCUCGCAGAGGCUGCAGAAAAGGCCCAGGAGGCUGUUGAUGACAUGAACGACCACCAGGAGAAGCUGGAGCAGGCUGAUGCACAGAAGGGCGGAGAAGAGGGACACGUGCCAGACAACAGCUGCAGAGGGCUCCAGGCAGACGGAGUUCCAGAGCGAACGGUCUUUGAAUGGGUAACCAUAUUUCCAAGCUUGUGUCUGAUUGAAGGAUGAAACAUCAAACAUGCAAAAAGGACCAUCUUUCAGAGCAACUCCAGAAGUGACAAAGCAAAUCAGGGCUCCAAGUAAAGCCAGGCCACCUGACAACAGAGCAGUAAGCACCUGCGGAGGGAGGAGAAACACUGAGCUAAGACGGGGUCGCAGCUGGGGAGCCUGCGGAGGGAGGAGAAACGCUGAGCUAAGACGGGGUCGCAGCUGGGGAGUCUGUGGGGCGGUCUGCACAGGUCUGACUUCUCUGGUCUCAGUGUUCUUCCGUCCUGUCAUGGGGGAGAAUUCUGUCCAUGGCACCCCCUUUGAAGCAUAACCCAUGGUGGGGAGGCCGUGAGGGGUUUCUAGGAGAGAAAGGACCAAGAAGCAGAAUCGCAGGCCCCGGAUCUCCCUGACCGUGAGUUCGCCUGAGCUGCUCAGCAGCUUGGCAUCACAAACCUUUUGCACAUUACAGCCAUUCAGCCUCUGAGCUAAAGAAGAAGCUACCACAGGCCCACCACUGACUCUUCUAAGGAAAAGCUGCAUUUUCAAAAGUUCCAGAGUCAUGGAGUCAUUCUCCCACUGAGGUCAAGCUGGUUUGGAGUUGGGGAGGGAUCAGACAAAGGUGCAUAGUAAGUUUUGACUCUGAGUUAAAGGAGUCAAGAUGAAUCAGUAAGCCUAGGGCAGUGGUUCCCAAAAUGGGGUCCCUGCCCAGCCGCAUCACAUCACCUGAGAACCUGUUAGAAAUGCAAAACUUCCCCGCCAUCCUGAAUCAGAAACUCUGGGGAGGGAGCCCAGCAAUCCGUGUUCCGGCAAAAGCCCUCCAGGUGAUUCUCAUGCACAUUCAAG